GUAGCUCUGUGGAUCCUUUUCAGAUGACGUCGUUUGAUAUCGUAUUCGGCACACGCUUAGCCGUCGCCCCACAAGUGCCCCAAGGGAUGGUUCGUCCGCUGCCAGAUCGAACAGUCCUUGCUAGUCUGUAGGCAGUUCCUCGGCAGCAAGUUGUGGACUAAGAACCCAGCAAGUUGUGGACUAAGAAAUCACCUACGUUAAAGCUUCUAACUUUAGCCAUAAUUCGGGGAGCUGAAGUCCAGGCCCUGCGCUCCUGCCGCUGACUGCCUGACGUGCCGCUCGCUGCCCAGCUGGCUCCGGGGUCCACGCAGUCCUGGUGGGGGAUUCCGAGUCCACGGCGACCGCUGGUCCAUGUGCUGGUGGCGGUUGCAGCUGCGGCCCCCUUGGGCUGACGUGGCUUCCCAGAGCCGUGCCCGGCCAUGUCCAAGGGCCCCGUCGACUGCGCUGCUCUGGCCCGCUGCUCCUGAAUUGCGGGCACAGAAUCUGGGGCUGGGCACUCUGCAGGCUCUGGCAGCUCUGGUGGCUCUGGGUGUGGCUCUGGCGACGGCGGCUCUGGCGGCUCUGGCAGUGGCUCUGGCAGCUCUGGCGACAGCGGCUUUGGCGAUGGCGAUGGCUCUGGCAGCUCUGGCAGUGGCUCUGGCGGCUCUGGCUUUGGCGGCUCUGGUGGCGGCUCUGUCGGCAGCUCUGGCUCUGGCGGCGGCUCUGGCAGCUUUGACGGUGGCUCUGGCGGCGGCAGCUCUGGCAUCUUUGACGGUGGCUCAAAUCAAUAAUAUUGAUUAUUUUGUUUCAAAUUCCAUUCAGGCUCCACGUGACAAGAAAACAUCUGUUUCAGUUAUAGCCAGAGAAGUAAAGGAUGGAGACCAAUCUGGGACAGUGUCUUCUCAGAAAGAACGGGCCUCAAAGGUCACACAUGACAAGAAAGAUCCUGUUUCAAAUACAGCCACAGGAAAAAAGGAUGGAUCAAAAUCUGGGAUAGGUAAUUUUGCAAUACACAUUUAAUGUGAUGUUCACUCAGGAUAAAAGACAACUUCCCUUCUCAAGUAAAUCAGCAGAGGGCUCAUUGAAAGUGUACAUUGUGAUUCAGGAAGCCUGAGAUUCUGCAUUUGUAAUAAGUUAUUUAGCACCAGUGAUGCUGCUGGUCCUUGUCCAUGAUCUGAGUAGUAUGAUUAUAAACUUUUCUACAUUGAAAUUAAAUAGAAGAACCUCUGAAGAGCAAUUCAAGACAUAGCAAGCUCAAGGGACAGUGUAAUUUUGCUUUAAUUCUACAGCAUGUUUUCUUCAGGAAGGAAAGGAAAAAGAGAUGUAGUAAUAGGGAUGAUAGACACUAGGUUGUUUUGCUGAAACUGGAGGGAAGAAGUGAUUGUAAUAACCCAUAAACACUGUAGAAUGAGAGAACUAAUGAGACCAUUGAUGCAAAAAUUAUUUUCUCCAAGGAAGAGGGAUUGUGAGGCAGCAAGGAGGGAAAAGAAGAGGUUAUGUAUGUAAUUUAGGGGUUUCUGCUGAGGAAACAUGAGUGAACUCACUUUGGAUUUAUUUAGAAUAUUUGCGUAAAAGAAGAUUUGAUUUUGGCUGCUCCAGAAACUACUGGAAACAGGAAAGAGUGCUAGAACUGGGAUAAACCACGGUGACUCAUUACUCUUCUUUGUUGCUAUUAGGCAUCAGAGAUAGAUGUUUUGUUGAUUUUAAUUAUUAAAAAGAAGAUAAGCUAGAAUAUGAAUACAUUGGCUCCAUUGGUAAAGGAGCUAACUCUUGGAUAAAAUAGGUAUUUAAUGAAAUUUCUUUAGAGGAUAACAUGAUACCUCUAAGAAGACUAUUUUUAGAAACAAAAAUUAUGUUGAAUUCAUUUACUGACUCCAAAAAUGGUUAUUUUCAAUGAAUAUUGGAGUGAUAUCUGAAUGUAAAAGCUUAUUAAUAUAAGUCGCUGAUUAAGAUCAGGAUACAGGGAUGGGUCCUUCAGCCUCUGUGCUCCCAGUCAUCCUCAUCCAGCUGUCAGAUCCCCACAAUUUCCACCUUGUCUUCCUAGAUGCUCCACAUUUUAUUACAGUAGCCAAUCACAGCAUGCUCCAUCGUCCUCAGGUCCUGGAUCAUGAACGCAUUAAAAGCCAUCACUCCGAAUAUCCACACUACAAACUUUGUGUAAUAAACACAAUGAGGAACGUGGGGAGAAGGAUUUUCCUGAUUGUGCCAGGCCCCACCAGCAUGCUCAGUGGUCUCGCUGUCCCUGCGCACACUUUCCCAGGCCUGGUCCCACUUCUUUUUUUUUUUUUUUUUUUUUUUUUAAAGAGAAAGAGAGAGAGAAUAGGAAGGAGGAAAAAGGAGAGAAGAGAGAGAGAGAAUGGGGAGGAGGAGAAGGAAAGAAAGAGGGAGAGAGAAUGGGAGUAUUGCUUUCUUGCCCAGGCUAGAAUGCAAUUUAGUAAUGGGUAUUGAAAACCUCUUUUAUACUGAUAAUUAUACUUAAUGAUGUAGUCAGGAAGGAAUAAGGGAAGAUUGAGAACACAACAGGCCAACCAAUAUUUCAUUUAAACCUAUGAAAUGCUAUGCGAUUACUGAGGAGUGAUUUACUUCCAAUUAUGUAGUCACCUUUGGAAUAGGUGUGAGGUGGUAAUGUAUGUUUUGUGUAUUUGAAGUGGAGAGUUCUAUAAAUGUUUAUUAAGUUUACUUGUUCCGGGUCUGAGUUCAAGUUCUGAAUAUCCUUGUUAAUUUUCUAUCUCGUUGAUCUAUAGAAUCGUUAGCUCUUCUUGUUGCAUUGAUCUUUUUGCCAUUAUGUAAUGUCAUUCCUCGCCUCUUUUGAUCUUUGUUGCUUUAAAGUCUACUUUAUCAGAGGCGAGAAUUGCAUCUCCUGCUUUUUGUUUAUUAGUUUAUUUUUACUCUCUGUUUGAUUGGUAAAUCUUCCUCCUUCUCUCUGAGUCUUUAUGUAUUGUUGCAUGUAAGAUGGGCCCGGAUGCAGCAUACCGAUGGGUUUUGGGAAAAAGUCUUAAGGUGGCACAGUGAUUUCAUAGCCAAACUACAAAGUACCUUCCCACGACCUCUUCAGACCCAAGUGGGGACAGUUUAGAAACCCAUAAAUCCCAUCUCUCAGUGACUGGCAAGAUUAACUUCUUACAAACUACCACUACAAAGAGUUAGAUUUCAUAUACACACACCCAAAAAGUGGGGUGUCCUCUAUGGAUGACCAAUACGAUUCCCCUGCUUCUAAGAAUUGUCAUCUGGACUUCUGGAAGUAACUGUGCUCUAAUUGUGUAAAUAAAGGAAAAGAAGAUGAAAUAACACUAUAAAGUUGAAUGUAUGUUAGGGUACCAAAGAAACAAGGGAACAUAAGUGCACUUAAACACUGGCCUAUUUUUCAGUAUGAGUUUUGUCAGACACUGCCUGUGCUGAUCAACGUUACACAUCAUAACUUUAAAUUUUAACAGCUGCUUGAUCUGAAAAAUAAAAAUAAUCAAACUUUAUUUUGUUUUUGAUUGUUAGCAGCAGGGCAGAGAUAGUUUCAGAUAGGAACAAUUUUAAGAGAGCUCUGUAACUUUACGAAAGCUAAGAUUUUAUGCAAAUUUUCAUUUUGAAAUCCGCCUUUAGGUGAACAUCGUGGAUAAGAUGUUUCUGUUAGCUACAAUAACCCUCAAUCAGAAUGCCUCAGGAAGGAGCUGUUUUACUAAAUUAAAUUUUCAUGUUGGUUAAGGAUUAACCAGAAAUUCCUUUCAGCUGGAACAUAAGUUGAAAUUCAAAAAUAUGUACACAUAUUGUAGGCAGAUAGCUCACCUUGGAAAGCCCAGUGCAGUAAAUGAAAUGAGUCCCUUUUUGAUGUUGGGUGCCUCAUGUCUCCAAGUCAUCUUUCUGAACGUGCAUCCUCAUUUUAUAGUGCUAAGUGUGUAGAAUAUUGGGUAAAGAAUCUGCACUAAGAGCCAUGUGUUCAAAUUACUUUUUAAAAAGUUAGUAAAAUUUACUUUUUCCUGCAUUUGCUACUUUUUUCCAAUAGUGAAGUGCUGAGUAGAUUACCAUUGAAAGAGGGCUCCUGUUACUUACAGCCUAGUCAUUCAGUGUUUACAUGCAUGUUUUAAAAGGGAAGACUUCUAGCCGGGCAUGGUGGCUCACGCCUGUAAUCCCAACAUUUUAGAAGGCCAAGAUGAGUGGAUCACUUGAGGUCAGGGGUCUGAGACCAGUCUGGCCAACAUGGUGAAACCCCAUCUCUGCUAAAAAUAUAAAAAUUAGCUGGGCAUGUUGGCACAUGCAUGUAAUCCCAGCUACCAGGGAGGCUGAGGCAAGAGAGUCACUUGAACCCAGGAGGCAGCAGAGGUUGCAGUGAGCCAAGAUCCUGUCACUGCAUUCCAGCCUGGGCGACAGAGUGAGACUUUGUCUCAAAAAUAAAACUAAAAGGAAAGACUUCUAAAGUAUAAAGCAAUUCUCAACUAGAGUACUGGUAAGUGGGACAUUGCUUUUUUAAAUCACAGUCUUCACUAGAGACCAAAUAAGUUAAUAGGAAGGUAUGUUUUAGAGACACUGUAACAUAAUCUCUUUUUUAGUCUACAGUUCACUAGGAGGCCUUUGGAUGUGGGCCAAGCGCCCCUUCCAGGCUGAUGGCUGCGGGGUGGAUGGUCUGCCAGAGCCGCCGCCGCCGCCACCGCUUCCGCCACCGCCAGAGCCGCCAGAGCCGCUGCCAGAGCCGCUAGAGCCGCCGCCACCGCCAGAGCCUCCCAGAGCGCCGCCAUAGCCGCCA
rnacentral:lncRNA from 1 species